rnacentral:rRNA from 1 species
UACGGGGGGGGCAAGCGUUGUUCGGAAUUACUGGGCGUAAAGGGUUAGUAGGUGGCCAACUAAGUCAGACGUGAAAUCCCUCAGCUUAACUGGGGAACUGCGUCUGAUACUGGAUGGCUUGAAUCCGGGAGAGGGAUGCGGAAUUCCAGGUGUAGCGGUGAAAUGCGUAGAUAUCUGGAGGAACACCGGUGGCGAAGGCGGCAUCCUGGACCGGCAUUGACGCUGAGGAGCGAAAGCCAGGGGAGCAAACGGG